rnacentral:rRNA from 1 species
AAUCCAUAGGUUAAUGAGGCGAACCGGGGGAACUGAAACAUCUAAGUACCCCGAGGAAAAGAAAUCAACCGAGAUUCCCCCAGUAGCGGCGAGCGAACGGGGAGGAGCCCAGAGCCUGAAUCAGCAUGUGUGUUAGUGGAAGCGUCUGGAAAGGCGCGCGAUACAGGGUGACAGCCCCGUACACAAAAGCGCAUGUGCUGUGAGCUCGAUGAGUAGGGCGGGACACGUGGUAUCCUGUCUGAAUAUGGGGGGACCAUCCUCCAAGGCUAAAUACUCCUGACUGACCGAUAGUGAACCAGUACCGUGAGGGAAAGGCGAAAAGAACCCCGGCGAGGGGAGUGAAAAAGAACCUGAAACCGUGUACGUACAAGCAGUGGGAGCACCCUUUGGGGUGUGACUGCGUACCUUUUGUAUAAUGGGUCAGCGACUUAUAUUCUGUAGCAAGGUUAACCGUAUAGGGGAGCCGGAGGGAAACCGAGUCUUAACCGGGCGUUAAGUUGCAGGGUAUAGACCCGAAACCCGGUGAUCUAGCCAUGGGCAGGUUGAAGGUUGGGUAACACUAACUGGAGGACCGAACCGACUAAUGUUGAAAAAUUAGCGGAUGACCUGUGGCUGGGGGUGAAAGGCCAAUCAAACCGGGAGAUAGCUGGUUCUCCCCGAAAGCUAUUUAGGUAGCGCCUCGUGAAUUCAUCUCCGGGGGUAGAGCACUGUU